rnacentral:lncRNA from 1 species
GGGGGCCGCGGGGCGGGCGGAGGAAUGCGGGCAGAGCUGCGGGGCUCCUUCUCGUCCUCUCUUUCCCCACCCCGGCUUUCGCUGUCCUGUCCCCCCCUCCCUCCCCUCGCAAUAUCCAAGGCAGUAAAAUCCGCGGGAUGGAGAAGAUGCGGUAGCAGCAGCAGCUCCUAGACGCCUGCAGGGGAGUUCCCAACUUUCCCGGCCGCUUUGCGAAUUCUCACCGAAGUUAUCCGGAGUUUGCCAGUCUCCCUAUCAAUGACAGCUUGGAGCCACCUCGGAACAGAAGUGCCACCCCGUUCAGAGUCCAAAGUAAAACAACACAGACGCUGUGCUACGGUAACACUGAUCAAAGCUUACAACAAAAUAAAAAGUCAAAUGUUAAACCAAAGCAAAUUGCACAGUGCUAAUGAAAUAAUAGAGAACAGCCUGCCCAAACCUCUGCUAUGCAAACGGAAGAAGUUAUAUUCCCUGUUCCACCACUGCUUGAUAAACAUAUCCAGGAGUUAAAACGGCAAGUUUGCUUCUGUUUCCACAAACACAUUUACUGAUUAAUAUCACCUGAAGUACUUUAACAACAGGAACAACAACAGAGCACCUGCAAGGACAACACAGAAUUAAAGUGACAAGAAUAUUAGCUUAAGAGGCAUUCUUCAUUUGAUUCAGGAUCAGCAUAUUCCAAAAUGAACUGAGGUAAGGAUGUCUCUUCAACCAAAAAUAAUUCAGAUUAUCAGUUAGGGAAUACUAGAUUCCCCUUCCAGCUCCCAAAUGUCCCACACAUUCACUGCAAGUAUUUCCAUCAAAAGUUUGUAGUCUUCUUAAAUAACUAGAGUUGGAUUUUUUUAGUACAUAGUACUUUUUUAAUGAAGUAACAACAUUUUAAAAUUCAGAAACAAGCUCUCUUUAUUGUAUUUAACACCACAUCCAUCCUUACUGAAAAUGCAAGUACACUCCAAUCAACUGUUUCAGCAUUAUUCCUGAUAAAUGUAAUAACAUGUGUAAAUCAAUAAGGGGGGGAGGAAGGGAUGUUAGAUUUUUCCAGCUUCCUUUUAAAAAGGAAAAAAAAAAAAAGAAAAAAAAAAAGAAAGACUUACGGCAAAUUAAGAAUCAAGAUAGAAGAUUUUAGAUGAAACAUUUUGGAAAAAUAUCUUCCUAGAUGUUCUAGUCCCCUUUAUUUUUUUCUGCUUAGUCUUUUUGGUCAAAAUUUUAUCUGCAUGUGAUCAACCUGCACUGUGAGGCUGCAUAGGAGUUAAUAAAAAUAGCACUAAGCCUGAAAAAAUAAGAAAU